UACAGAGGGGGCCAGCGUUAUUCGGAAUUAUUGGGCGUAAAGGGCGCGUAGGCGGCUUGAUGUGUCAAAGGUGAAAUCCCUCGGCUCAACUGAGGAACUGCCUUUGAAACUGUCUGGCUUGAGGCCGGGAGAGGGUAGCGGAAUUCCCAGUGUAGCGGUGAAAUGCGUAGAUACUGGGAGGAACACCGGUGGCGAAGGCGGCUACCUGGACCGGUUCUGACGCUGAUGCGCGAAAGCGUGGGUAGUAAACAGG
rnacentral:rRNA from 1 species